AUGAAAUUAAAAAAUACAGACUAAUUUUGUAUGUUAUUUUUAUUAAUUGAUAAUAUUUUUAGUUAAUCACUUUGUAAAGUCUUACAAAUGUUUAAAACAAAAGGAAAAUGCAACGACGGAUUUUUCUUUUGCAACUGAAGUAAUGAAACGCAAAAAAAAAGAAAAAUGACGUUAUGUUAUAUCAGCUGACAUACUUGAAUUCGCGCCGAAUGCAACAGUUUUAUCUUCUCAGAAUUUAUACAAUAACAACAAUAACGAAAGAAAUAUCACCGAUUUACUACCUACUAGAUCUAGAGAGUCGGAGGCUAGACAUGGAGGAGCGACUUGUUUCAGCAGUCGACAAGCUGGCUGGCUACAGCUGCUGAAGCUAAUAGCAAGGCCGCGGAUAUGCAAACAGAGUUGCUUCGGCUGCUGCUGGAGGAAGUUAGGUGAAGACCAAUAUAAGGUUAAAGAAUAGCAGCAUGACAAUUCUCAAGAACAAAGACACUAGAGAAACUAAGUUAAAAUACUUAAGUAAAAACAUAUGUAUUCAAUAAACUUAAAUGUAAAUAUUUAAGC
rnacentral:lncRNA from 1 species